rnacentral:rRNA from 1 species
GACGAACGCUGGCGGCGUGCUUAACACAUGCAAGUCGAACGAAGAGCGACGGAAGCUUGCCUCUAUCAAUCUUAGUGGCGAACGGGUGAGUAACGCGUAAUCAACCUGCCCUUCAGAGGGGGACAACAGUUGGAAACGACUGCUAAUACCGCAUACGAUCUAACCUCGGCAUCGAGGAUAGAUGAAAGGUGGCCUCUACAUGUAAGCUAUCACUGAAGGAGGGGAUUGCGUCUGAUUAGCUAGUUGGAGGGGUAACGGCCCACCAAGGCGAUGAUCAGUAGCCGGUCUGAGAGGAUGAACGGCCACAUUGGGACUGAGACACGGCCCAGACUCCUACGGGAGGCAGCAGUGGGGAAUCUUCCGCAAUGGACGAAAGUCUGACGGAGCAACGCCGCGUGAGUGAUGACGGCCUUCGGGUUGUAAAGCUCUGUUAAUCGGGACGAAAGGCCUUCUUGCGAAUAGUGAGAAGGAUUGACGGUACCGGAAUAGAAAGCCACGGCUAACUACGUG